rnacentral:rRNA from 1 species
GUGGGGAAUAUUGGACAAUGGGCGAAAGCCUGAUCCAGCCAUGCCGCGUGUGUGAAGAAGGUCUUCGGAUUGUAAAGCACUUUAAGUUGGGAGGAAGGGUAGUAACCUAAUACGUUGCUACUUUGACGUUACCGACAGAAUAAGCACCGGCUAACUCUGUGCCAGCAGCCGCGGUAAUACGAAGGGUGCAAGCGUUAAUCGGAAUUACUGGGCGUAAAGCGCGCGUAGGUGGUUUUGUAAGUUGGAGGUGAAAUCCCCGGGCUCAACCUGGGAACUGCCUCCAAAACUGCAUGACUAGAGUACGGUAGAGGGUAGUGGAAUUUCCUGUGUAGCGGUGAAAUGCGUAGAUAUAGGAAGGAACACCAGUGGCGAAGGCGACUACCUGGACUGAUACUGACACUGAGGUGCGAAAGCGUGGGGAGCAAACAGGAUUAGAUACCCCUGUAGUCC